rnacentral:lncRNA from 1 species
UUUAACAUCUUUCUACUAUAUAUUAGUCUUCCUCAAAUACUUAAAUCUGAAUUUUGUUCGUUUGAAUCUUUAUUCGAAUCUUUAGUUUUUUAGUCUGAAUCUCAACAUGUUUGAUGUUCAUCUCCCACAUGUUCUAUUCUAUUUUCUAUUCUGUAAUAAAUUUUUGAUAUGAUUACAGCAGUUUCCUGUUCUUGCACAGAUAUUAAAUAUCCUGUUAUAACAGGUGAUCUGUUCCUGAUCUAUAUAUGCCAUUAGAGAAACUCUGAAAUCAGUCUGAGAGGAGAAACAAUUGAGACUUUUGAUGAGAAAUGAAGAACAAGUGGGAUGAAGACAGUUACAGGAGAGAACAGAGCCAAAUACUCUCAGGAUUUCAUCAGGCAACUGCUGUAAAACAAUUUUUACUUCUCUGAUCAUGUUAUGGUGCAUUUUAUAUCGGCUAAAAAUGACAACACUGAACAGAACAGGAAGCUGCAGCUUGGAAGUGUCAAUGUUCGGAGUGUAAAUUAAUCAGCAGAAAGAGCUGGAGGGUCACACUCGUCAACACGGAAUACAAAGGCAGUUAUUCAGCUGACAGUAGGCUACUGAACAGCAGAAAAUGAAAGCAAUAUGUAAGUCUCUUGUCAAGUGUUUCCCCAGUUUGGAAAAAAAGCAGAAACACUUAAUAUAGAUAAUGUAUUAAGUGCUAUUAAAAUAAAAAAAUUAUAUAUACGGUUUAUCAGUAUAACCUUGUACAAAUAUUUUUGUAUUAUGCAUUUAAAUGGGUGACACUGGUCCCAUCUUGAGUUUGAAAUGGUAACUGACUGUAAAAAAAUGGGCCUCUGAGAAAUUUCUCAAAUGAUCUUCUGUAGAGUGAUUUUUAUUUAUCCUUUGUUACUGUAGUGAACUGAGACAACUGUUGUAUAAAUCCACCAUGAUGUUACUUUAAUUUCAGAAAUCAUUGAUGUAGACCUCUACAAUUCUCUUUCCAGGAGAAAACACUAAAGUAACCUCACAUGUGCUUCAAAUAGAGUUUCAAAUGAGUUAUUUUGCUCAGAUUUGGAGGACCUCUUGAGGUCUAAUCAGUUCACUGCUGUGUUCAGUGGUGGAUGUGGGUUAUGUGACUCUCUCCUGGUACAAAAGGAAACAGUUUAUUGUCCAGCAUCAGUGUGUCUGAUCUCAGCAUCAGUCUCUCCCUACUUCUGGAGGUGGAAUAUCAGGAUAAAAACAGCUACAGCUGUGUGCUCAACAAUCCCAUCAGAAACCAGACCAUACAUCUGGACAUCAGCAAGCUCUGUCACUCAUGUUCAGACUCUGUCCACUGUUGUGGUUCUACUGAAGCUGUGAUCCGAUUGGUCCUCUCUGCUCUGGUGGGUGUGGCUACUGUCAUUCUUCUGGUUCAUGACAUCAGAUCCAGAAGAGCUGAACAGGCUCGAGCACAGAUUUACUCAUCAGGUACAUAAUUUAUGUAAUUUCUUACAAACCAUUUUUGCAUGUAUACAUAUUUGUGAGAUUUGUUCAUUAAUGGCUUUAUUUAUAUAUUCAUCUUUUUCAAAAACAACUGAAAUCUAAAGCAGAAUCCAGAACUUUAAAGGUUCUUCAAAGUCAGCUUUGUUCUUCUACUAUAUUUGUCCUAAUAACUACUGAUGUUUGCUUGAGCUUGUGCCAUCUCUUUUCCUUUUUAAUUUUUUUUUAUGGUUUAUAAGGUCUUAUUUUUAUAUUUUCCUCACAUAAGACAGGCAGAUCUCACUUUACUAUUACAGCUAUCUACAUGCCUAAUGUAUCUGCCAGAAAUUAUCAAUAAAGAUUUCUCUAAGG